rnacentral:lncRNA from 1 species
CGCAAAAUGUUAUUUUUAUCAAUAAAUAUCAAAUUGUUAUUGAAAAAUCUAGAUACAAAAAGAUAAUAUAUCAAGUUCGCAUCCCAUGAUGAUGUUACUUUCUAUAUUUCCUCAACAUCUUAAUAAAAAAAGUUAGCAAACAUCCGGAGCUAGACUAUGUCUUAUAAAAAUAAUAAUAAGUUUGUGCAUCUUUUAAACUUGAAUCUUGAUUUGUAGCUUCAAUCUUCAAAACCUGUAAGUACAAAAGUUUGAAAAGAUGAUAAAUACUAUUGGUAAAAUAACAUAUAUAAAUUUUAAACUAGCAAUAUAGGGAAAUAUAAGAAAAAUUAAUUAGAAAAGCUUUGGGAUGGUAAAUCAAAAUUUGUUUCGAUAAAUCCUGAUACGACAAUUCGAGAUUUACCAUUCAAGAGAACAACUACUAUGAACAGACAAUAACAUCACGAACUUGGUAUUUUUAAUCAUAAGAGAACCAUAUCAUCCGCUUCUAUUGAGCACAGCCAUUACCAUUUAUGUACGGAACAAACAUGACAUACAACGAAUAAGUUUAUAGAUAACAACAAAGAUAAGCCUUUACCGCAACUUAUAGAUUUUCAAACUUCACCGAUAAUCCCCCAAAGUUUACAAACAUGCAUGUUGUCCCUCAUAUAAUGUGCUUACAAAUUCAGUAUAUUUUAUGCAGUAGUAACAUCUAUUGAAUAAGUAGAAUCCUUCUAAUAAAAUAUUCAAUUCCAGUUCCUUUUUCAAUCCUUUGUAAUGGUAAAAUCUUUGUCAUAGACAAGAUGUAUAGGUUUAAGAAUUGGAAUCUCAUUUCUAGCCAUUCAUCCUGCCACAACCUUAUUCUUCUGCCAUUUUCCAGCUAUAAUCUCAUCAAAUUCCUACCACACAUGCCUGAUUUGCUAGCAGAUCGAAAUUCCAUAGGAAGUUAUAGCUACUUACUGCACCAUUGUACAUGCAUUCCAUAUUUAGCUUCAAUCAAAUGCUUCCAUAGAUUCCAGUUGUCAGUGGAAUAAUAUAUGCUUUGUCAAAUUAAUAUUUUAAGUCUCAACUAUAUGCUUCCCGCAUGUUGGAGGGAAUGAAACACUGUAGCAAACCAGCUUGCUAAUUGUAGUUAAGUUUCACGGGGAAAAAAAAAUUCAUUCUUCCCUUCUCAUGUACCACUGAUGAAUUGCAGAAUUUUUGUUGUUGUUGGUUUUUAUUUGUUAUUAUGACUGUUUAAUUAGUGACUUUAAAUGGUUCACCAUUUAGAAGGGUGAAGUCAAAAUACCACUAGAAUAUGUAAUAUAGAAAUUUUGACUAUACUCAAAUCAACUAUAAAACUUAAAAAGCUAGGUAUAUUGUUACCCAAAUCAACUAGUGCAGAUGAUUUAAAUUAAUUACCUUAUUGAUGAAAGAUGACCUAUGUUGUCUUGAGUUCAUUUUCCACCCUUCUUCUACCUUCAGGGUCUUUUGAGGAAGAGAGUAACUUGAAAAAGAUAAAUUAUCUACAAGAUUCUAUCAAGCUAUGAUAUUUAGCUAGAUAUUCUAAUUGCAAACCAGGAGGGAAUCAAAAUCUAAUGGAUUAACGUCAAACUAUCCUGUGCUCUAAGGAAGAAAAGUUUGAAUUGGAACUGAGGCAAAUACGGGCAUCACUAGAUGAGGAACUAAAAGGUAAGGUGCUUGAACUGGAAAUAAAGGAAGCUGAAUUACAUGCUCUUCUACCAUUAUUUGAACCUACUCAUUUCCCUUACAAAGGGAAAUGCCCUUCCAAAACAGGCAUGGGGACUAACAAAUACUAUAAUAUAAAUACAUUAUGGCCACACAGUUAUCCAAACACUAUUCUUCCACCAACAAAAAAGAUUGAAUUUCAAAUGUGACUUCACCCAACUUCGAGAUCCCUAGGGGGAUCAACCUUAUGAAGGAUGCGCAACAAGAAUUCAAAAAUACAUUCCAUUCAAUGAAAAUUCAAAUCUUAUGCUGAAAAUUCCCCAAAGUACUCAAUGAGAAAAAAGUUAUAUGUAAAUCUUAGCAUAAUAUAACCUUAAUUAUUUGUAAACAAUUAAUGCUAUAAACUCUACUGAAUGUGAUAGCCUCUUUUCACUUAAAACACUUAGUUAAAUGCUAGAAACUCUGUUCGCUCCAUUCAUCUCAUGAGAUUAUGUAUGCACUUCUUACACAAACAAUGCUGUGACUGAAUCUGAUGGAGGCCACAUUUCAACUUGUAGUUACUGCUGGGUGUAAUAGAGAGACUUGAAAGGGAAUAUACUAACAAUCAAAAUUCAUUUGGCACAAAAAGGUUCAUAUUCAAUGUCAAAAGGGGUAAAAAUGCAGUCUGUUUGUAAAUAAAUUGGGCAUCCAGUUCUCUAAUGAGAAGGAGAUAUUAUCGCACGACCUUCAAGCAGUCGAGCUAAAUUAAUUACCAAUUAAAACAACUAACAAUUACCAAUCAGAGAUUCAUUUCACUUGUUGUGAUUCCUACAUAAAGGUACAAACAGGAACACAUGUAUUCGACUAAAUGAUAUGCAUCUUUACUAUAUAAAUAUCUAGCUGCUUCGACUUAAUAGUUGCCUACAUGUGAUUCAACUUUUCUUCCUUAAUAUCAUUCCACGAUGAUACUCCCAACGGACACAUCUUACGGUCACGAACGAUUCUUCCUAAGUGCCUCGAAAAUAAUUUGCUAUUUGUUCCAACUGUUCGAUUAUUGUAAAAGGUUACUUUCAACUUUUGUCCGACUUCAAGUGAUGAAACUUCUUUGCACUUGUUCCUCCCUCGAACUUUUUUUACCUUUCCAGGAUUAGAUAAAGAACCUACGGCUGCAUAAUUUGGUAAAAACUAUAGCAAUAAAAUUUAGUUCUACAAAUUAAUAACAUAUGGAUUCAAAAUAUCAUACCUUUUUCAGUUGUUUGGGAGUGUUGCAUAACUUGAUCAGUAGAUGGGGGAAAUGAAAUAUUGGUUUGCAUAUGCUCUUUCUCAAGAACCAAGGAUUUUUUUAUCUAUUGUUCGCAUCUCUUGAUUAGAAGACAUGGUAAAAUUCGAUCUUGUGCUUUUAGAAAUCCCUAAAGAUGAGCACAAAGAUCCAGGCGUUUGCUCUCAUCCCUUCCCUAUAGAAGCAUAAUCCAAAAACUUUUGUACUCCGAUUAAGUAGGCUUCAUCGAGCCAAUUAUUAACAAGUUGCAUCCAUUGCUUAUUAGGUGCCAUAACCUUGGAGAAUAAAUAAAAAUUACAUUAAAAAAAGAUAAAAGAUAAGAAAAAUACUAUGAUGUACACAACUUGUUACGAUCAGAUGCACACAACUGGUUCACCUCCAAGGUUGCAGUUUCUAGUGAACUGGCUCCUCUAUUUUCGGUUAAUACAUUGUAAUAUACAAUCAGAUGACACUAAUCUAGAUAAAAGAUUAUAAAUUAACUUGUAAUUAAAGAUGUUAGUUCCUAAAACAUUCAUGCAUAGUUCCUUCUAGUCUGUUCCGAGAUCGAAGUAAGUACUUACACCAAAGAAAGUGUAAAUAGUAUACUUUACAACACAAGAUCAUUCAAAAUAGUCGCGCGCGACUAAAAGACUGCUUCUUCCCAGAUUCAAUUAUUUUUCAGUAUGUUAAAAUACAAUUGGCAGUAGAGACGAGAAGGGUUCUGAGGUAUAAAUGGAUUUAGUUAAAAUCUUUUCAGAUGUAAAAUUAAAAUUACAAUAGGAGUAAUACAGUAGUCCCUGUUUUGGCUGGCAAAAUCCCUCACUGAAUACAUAAGACUAAUAUGUCAUUCAUGAAAUAAUUAGCUUUUUCAAACUGGUAGGCACUCCAUAUAACAUAAAAUUCUUCAAACUUCAAACACACAAUACGCUACAUAAACUUGAAUAUACUACAGAAAAUUAAUUUAUCCAAUUAGAAAUCCAACCCAAUAAUCUUUCCACCGAUUAUACAAUAGAAAAAAUACCAAAUUAUAUAUGAAAUCUUACCAAGAGAAGAAGAAGAACAACAACAACUCGAAUAACAAUUAGCGAAUUUAGAACAACUUAGAGAAGAAAAAAAAACAACUUGAAAGAGGAGGCAUACCUUGGAUUAAUAUCAAAUGCGAGAUGGAAAUUAGGGCAAAAAAUUUGCAAUCUUAGUUUUGAGAAACACAUAAGAACAAAUGGGCGCUAGGCGGAGUAUUAGGGCAAAUUGUGUUUUGAGAAUACAGAGAGUUUCACUUUACUUUUCAGAACUUUUUAUUUCAAUGUAUUAGUUUUGGCGCCUGAUUUUUGGAAAAUAGUAGAUUUCUA